GAUGAACGCUGGCGGCGUGCCUAAUACAUGCAAGUCGAGCGAACAGACGAGGAGCUUGCUCCUCUGACGUUAGCGGCGGACGGGUGAGUAACACGUGGAUAACCUACCUAUAAGACUGGGAUAACUUCGGGAAACCGGAGCUAAUACCGGAUAAUAUAUUGAACCGCAUGGUUCAAUAGUGAAAGACGGUUUUGCUGUCACUUAUAGAUGGAUCCGCGCCGCAUUAGCUAGUUGGUAAGGUAACGGCUUACCAAGGCGACGAUGCGUAGCCGACCUGAGAGGGUGAUCGGCCACACGGGAAUGGAGACCCGGUCCAGACUCCUACGGGAGGCAGCAGUAGGGAAUCUUCCGCAAGGGGCGAAAGCUGGACGGAGCAACGCCGCGUGAGUGAUGAAGGUCUUCGGAUCGGAAAACUCUGUUAUUAGGGAAGAACAAAUGUGUAAGUAACUAUGCACGUCUUGACGGAACCUAAUCAGAAAGCCACGGCUAACUACG
rnacentral:rRNA from 1 species